GAACGCUGGCGGCGUGCCUAAUACAUGCAAGUCGAGCGAACGGACGAGAAGCUUGCUUCUCUGAUGUUAGCGGCGGACGGGUGAGUAACACGUGGAUAACCUACCUAUAAGACUGGGAUAACUUCGGGAAACCGGAGCUAAUACCGGAUAAUAUUUUGAACCGCAUGGUUCAAAAGUGAAAGACGGUCUUGCUGUCACUUAUAGAUGGAUCCGCGCUGCAUUAGCUAGUUGGUAAGGUAACGGCUUACCAAGGCAACGAUGCAUAGCCGACCUGAGAGGGUGAUCGGCCACACUGGAACUGAGACACGGUCCAGACUCCUACGGGAGGCAGCAGUAGGGAAUCUUCCGCAAUGGGCGAAAGCCUGACGGAGCAACGCCGCGUGAGUGAUGAAGGUCUUCGGAUCGUAAAACUCUGUUAUUAGGGAAGAACAUAUGUGUAAGUAACUGUGCACAUCUUGACGGUACCUAAUCAGAAAGCCACGGCUAACUACGUGCCAGCAGCCGCGGUAAUACGUAGGUGGCAAGCGUUAUCCGGAAUUAUUGGGCGUAAAGCGCGCGUAGGCGGUUUUUUAAGUCUGAUGUGAAAGCCCACGGCUCAACCGUGGAGGGUCAUUGGAAACUGGAAAACUUGAGUGCAGAAGAGGAAAGUGGAAUUCCAUGUGUAGCGGUGAAAUGCGCAGAGAUAUGGAGGAACACCAGUGGCGAAGGCGACUUUCUGGUCUGUAACUGACGCUGAUGUGCGAAAGCGUGGGGAUCAAACAGGAUUAGAUACCCUGGUAGUCCACGCCGUAAACGAUGAGUGCUAAGUGUUAGGGGGUUUCCGCCCCUUAGUGCUGCAGCUAACGCAUUAAGCACUCCGCCUGGGGAGUACGACCGCAAGGUUGAAACUCAAAGGAAUUGACGGGGACCCGCACAAGCGGUGGAGCAUGUGGUUUAAUUCGAAGCAACGCGAAGAACCUUACCAAAUCUUGACAUCCUUUGACAACUCUAGAGAUAGAGCUUUCCCCUUCGGGGGACAAAGUGACAGGUGGUGCAUGGUUGUCGUCAGCUCGUGUCGUGAGAUGUUGGGUUAAGUCCCGCAACGAGCGCAACCCUUAAGCUUAGUUGCCAUCAUUAAGUUGGGCACUCUAAGUUGACUGCCGGUGACAAACCGGAGGAAGGUGGGGAUGACGUCAAAUCAUCAUGCCCCUUAUGAUUUGGGCUACACACGUGCUACAAUGGACAAUACAAAGGGCAGCGAAACCGCGAGGUCAAGCAAAUCCCAUAAAGUUGUUCUCAGUUCGGAUUGUAGUCUGCAACUCGACUACAUGAAGCUGGAAUCGCCAGUAAUCGUAGAUCAGCAUGCUACGGUGAAUACGUUCCCGGGUCU
rnacentral:rRNA from 1 species